CACGGGGAGCAAAUGAGGGGUUCAAAUUUUCUUUGAUGAAUGAGGGGUUGGGAUUUCAACAAGUUAUUCAGUAUCAAGGUUUUCAAACAAAUCAACCAGGUAUCAGUUCUCAUCAAAUAGGCAAUAUAUAUACUUGAAUGUGUAGAUACAGGAGGAUCAAGUCCAAAGAGCUCAGAGUCAUGCAGAUAAGUAGAAGUGCAGGUUAGAGGAGGUACUCUCGUAGGGAGCAGCAGUACGAUACGACGUUCUAAUGCAGACGAUG